rnacentral:tRNA from 1 species
GCGGGAGUAGCUCAGUUGGCAGAGCAUAACCCUUCCAAGGUUAGGGCCGCGGGUUCGAGUCCCGUUUCCCGCUCGA